GGAACACAGAAGUUAGAGCUCUUUGCAUCUGAGUGACGGAUCCCCAGCCAUGUGGGUUGGUGAUGCUGAGAAGCAGCUGUAGGAGAAUGUAAUGAACACUGGAGUAUAAGACAAAUGUCAGAACUACAGAAAAAGCGUUUGCCAUGUCCUGAGCAGACGGUCCGUAUGAUGGAUCGCACGCAACAAAGGGUCGCCUCUCCUAAUCCUGAAUUGGUCUCAUGAGUCAGAUUGGCAUAUCAAGCUUUGUGCAACACGACGACGCUCCGUACAAACAGCGCUGGACCACCACACAACACCCGCAAGUUGCACUGACUCCGGAAGUGAUUUCAGAACCCUGACUAACCAACAAGUAGCACUUACAGGAUGCAAAUCCCCCCCGACCCCCGGUCGAUAAAAUUGGGACAAUUAUGGAAUCUAAUGGGUGCCACCCUCUUUCCAGGCCCCAGUUAGAGAAACAUUAAGUGCAGAGACACUGAAGUGGCAGUUUUGUCCAGACCCUACACAGAACAUUUAUGGUCACACAAAAAGUAGAAACAAAAAUCAAUCUUUGCUCAGGCUUUCAGAUAACUGGGCAGUAACAGG